rnacentral:rRNA from 1 species
ACGCUCGACACCUACGGAGGCAGCAGUCGGGAAUAUUGCGCAAUGGAGGAAACUCUGACGCAGUGACGCCGCGUAUAGGAAGAAGGUUUUCGGAUUGUAAACUAUUGUCGUUAGGGAAGAAAAAAGACAGUACCUAAGGAGGAAGCUCCGGCUAACUACGUGCCUGCAGCCGCGGUAAUCUGAGCGGGCUGGCAAGGC